rnacentral:tRNA from 1 species
UCCCCUGUGGCGCAAUUGGCUAGCGCGUCAGACUGUUAAUCUGGAGGCUGGAAGUUCGAGCCUUCCCGGGGGAG